AGCAGACACCAAUGUCAAACUUGUUUUGUCAUUUUCACAGUUUUCAUUUCCAUGUACAUCUAAUAUGGUUCGACAAAAGAACUUCAUCAGCCAAGGGAAUGCCACAGUCUUCGGGGAAGAAAACAUGGCUACAUCUGGAGAGAGCUUAAAGAUCUACUAUGACUGCAAAGUAAGAAAGCCCAGAUGGUCCUAUGAUGACUCAACAAUGGAUGACAAGGAAAACACAAGAACACCUUUUUGAGACGAGGUCCACUUUUGAGAACUUUGACUGGAAAUUAUAGUGCUUCAUUUGUGGCGAAAAGUGCAGCCGUCAUAAAGAUAAUACAUCAAGAGGUUUUAGCAGAAGUUGGUCCCUAGGGCCAAACAAAAAAAUUGUGUGUUUCGGGAAACG